rnacentral:rRNA from 1 species
UACGUAGGGGGCAAGCGUUGUUCGGAAUUACUGGGCGUAAAGGGCGCGUAGGCGGCACGGCAAGUCGGGUGUGAAAGCCCGGGGCUCAACCCCGGAGGGUCUCUCGAAACUGCCGAGCUAGAGUGCGGAAGAGGCAAUCGGAAUUCCCAGUGUAGCGGUGAAAUGCGUAGAUAUUGGGAAGAACACCGGAGGCGAAGGCGGAUUGCUGGGCCGACACUGACGCUGAGGCGCGAAAGCCAGGGGAGCAAACGGG